AUGUAUAGCUUUUUCUCUCCCUUCUCUUUGCCCUCCCUUCUUCCUGCUACCAGUUGCAAGAUAGCUGGAGGUUGCUCACUAUCUGGGCUCCAUGAAGGAAAGAUGUGGGGAGAAGAGACCUUGAUCCUAACACUUGGAACUGCCAGCAAUCACUCACUUAUACAUCUCUUGCUGUUUGUGAAAGGGAGAAGCUGCAGCAAAAGACAGCGCAGAUUCAGGAAGGAAGGGAGGAAACAGACAAGAUCACUUUGUCAUUGCAGUUAUCUCUUUCAGUGAUCAAGUUUGAACUGUGGGAAAGGGUGAAGUUUUGAAGUGAAAGCCAUAUUAAAGUCCUAAUUUAGACAGGAUGGGAUUUUUUUUUUUUUUGGUACCUAAGGUAAAUCAUAGUUACUUAAAUGAAAUUGUUUUUGAUACCAAAAGAGAUUGGAUAGGUAUGGGGUAUGCCUGGGAUAUUAUCUUGGAUCAGCGAAGGGAGCUGGCAACAGACAGUGCUGGUCAACAAUGGCUGGAGAAAAAACUAGUUUACUCUUUUUGACAAACUGCUGUAUAGGUAAGAAUGUGUCAAGGAAUAAAGAAUAAAAGUGUGACUCUGCCA
rnacentral:lncRNA from 12 species